rnacentral:rRNA from 1 species
GUUGUAUAGUUAAGUGACUAAGCGUACAAGGUGGAUGCCUUGGCAAUCAGAGGCGAAGAAGGACGUGCUAAUCUGCGAAAAGCUUGGAUGAGUCGAUAAGAGGCGUUUAAUCCAAGAUAUCCGAAUGGGGAAACCCAGUAGAUGAAGAAUCUACUAUCAACAAGUGAAUUCAUAGCUUGUUGAGGCAAACCGGGAGAACUGAAACAUCUAAGUACCCCGAGGAAAAGAAAUCAACCGAGAUUUCGUCAGUAGCGGCGAGCGAAAGCGAAAGAGCCAGUAAGUGAUAGCAAUAUAGUUAGGAGAAUGUGUUGGGAAGCACAAUCAAAGAGGGUGAUAAUCCCGUAUCUAAAAACCAUAUUGUGGUACUAAGCUAACGAGAAGUAGGGCGGGACACGUGAUAUCCUGUUUGAAGAAGGGGGGACCAUCCUCCAAGGCUAAAUACUCCUGAUUGACCGAUAGUGAACCAGUACUGUGAAGGAAAGGCGAAAAGAACCCCGGUGAGGGGAGUGAAAUAGAACCUGAAACCUUGUACGUACAAGCAGUGGGAGCCCCAUCACUUAAUCCGAUUGGAAGGUGAUGAAAAGCAACCGCACUUAAACAAUGGUAAGAGGAGCGAAGCGAGUCAAACCACCCAAAAGAAGCAGUGGGAUUAAGUGAUGGGGUGACUGCGUACCUUUUGUAUAAUGGGUCAGCGACUUAUAUUUUGUAGCGAGGUUAACCGAAUAGGGGAGCCGAAGGGAAACCGAGUCUUAACUGGGCGUUGAGUUGCAGGGUAUAGACCCGAAACCCGGUGAUCUAGCCAUGGGCAGGUUGAAGGUUGGGUAACACUAACUGGAGGACCGAACCGACUAAUGUUGAAAAAUUAGCGGAUGACUUGUGGCUGGGGGUGAAAGGCCAAUCAAACCGGGAGAUAGCUGGUUCUCCCCGAAAUCUAUUUAGGUAGAGCCUUGAGGUGACACCUUUGGGGGUAGAGCACUGUUUCGGCUAGGGGUCCAUCCCGGAUUACCAACCCGAUGCAAACUACGAAUACCAAAGAGUGAUACUCAGGAGACACACGGCGGGUGCUAACGUCCGUCGUGGAGAGGGAAACAACCCAGACCGCCAGCUAAGGUCCCCAAGUCUAUAUUAAGUGGGAAACGAAGUGGGAAGGCUUAGACAGCUAGGAUGUUGGCUUAGAAGCAGCCAUCAUUUAAAGAAAGCGUAAUAGCUCACUAGUCGAGUCGGUCUGCGCGGAAGAUGUAACGGGGCUGAAAUAUAGCACCGAAGCUGCGGCAUCAGGCGUAUCACUAAUACGCCU